ensembl:lncRNA
GUCAUCUCAUGAUGUUCAGGGUCUUGCUGCUCCUGUUUGCCGUGGCUGGUCUCCAUGCAAGACCACUGCACCGAUUCCCAAAUGGUAAAUUAAAACCAAUUGGGCCACAAAUGGUCCAAGAUGAACACAGGGAUAGCUCAGUUCUGAAGCACAUGAACACUGAUGUGAAACCCAAGAAGCAACUACCAGUUCCCGCUGAGUUCUGCAGACAGGGAACAGAACCUUCCAGACGCUUCCUGAUGGACCUGAACACUGGGAUGCUCAAGCGUGGAGUUGGCAAAGUGAACGGAAAAGUUUCAAGAUUGGAUGAGCUCAAACAAGGCACUGAGAACCAGCUGCACACCCUGCAAGAGCUCAGAAUGCGUCCCAUGAUGAGAUCGCAGUACAUCGCUCAGAGCGAAAAACACGAGCAGAGAGCGAUCCCUGCCGAGGUGUACAGAAAAGGCACUGAAACUUCCAGAAAUGUCCUGAUGGACCUGAACACCGGUCUGCUCAAAGAACACAUGAACAAGAUGGACAGGAGAGUAGUGGCAGCUAAAUGGGAAGUGGUUUCUGAGCAUGAGGAUAUAAGAAGCCAAGACUCUUCUGAACAUAAGGAGAACCACAAAGCAGUUCCUGUUGAGAUCCGCAGACAGGGAACAGAACCUUCCAGACGCAUCCUGAUUGACUUGAACACUGGGAUGCCCAAGGAGGAACUCAGCGAAAUGAACAGAAGAGUUUCUGGCUUCUACAAUCCAGCAGCUAUUGAGAAGAGGCAAGGAACAGAACCUUCCAGACGCUUCCUGAUGGACAUGGACACUGGGAUGCUCAAGCACGAAGUUAGCGAAAUGAACAGAAGAGUUUCCGGCUUCUACAAUCCUCCAACUUAUGAGAUGAGGAAGGGAACACAGAAUUCUCGCGCCACUCUGGUGGAUCCCAGAACUGGACAACUGCUGGAAUCUCUAACAGAGCUCCAGAGGAGCGCAGCGCCAUUGGAUGAGUUCAGACAAGGCACUGAGUACCAGCCGUACAUCCUACAGAAGCUCAGACUGAACAAACAAGACACUGAACCUUCCAGAAACCUCCUGAUGGACCUGAACGCCGGCCUACUCGAACACCAAAAUAAGAUGGACUCUUCUGAACAUAAGGAGAACCACAAAGCAGUUCCUGUUGAGAUCCGUAGGCAAGGAACAGAACCUUCCAGACGCAUCCUGAUUGACACAAACACUGGUAUGCCCAAGGAGGAACUCAGCGAAAUGAACAGAAGAGUUUCCGGCUUCUACAAUCCAGCAGCUAUUGAGAAGAGGCAAGGAACAGAACCUUCCAGACGCUUCCUGAUGGACAUGGACACUGGGAUGCUCAAGCACGAAGUUAGCGAAAUGAACAGAAGAGUUUCCGGCUUCUACAAUCCUCCAGCUUAUGAGAUGAGGAAGGGAACCCAGAAUUCUCGCGCCACUCUGGUGGAUCCCAGAACUGGACAACGGCUGGAAUCUCUAACAGAGCUCCAGAGGAACGCAGCGCCAUUGGAUGAGUUCAGACAAGGCACUGAGUACCAGCCGCACACCCUGCAGGAGCUCAGGAUGCAUGACAUUGUUAGACCAAAGUAAAGCGCUUAAAACGUGUACGAAAGUCACCGUGUUUAGAAUUGAUGAGGCCUGGUGGACAACGUUUGGCUGUGUUCGUACCCUAUGACUGCAUGAAGACCAUCUCAGAACAUCUAGUUGACUGUACUGUUGUAUUCAGAGGUUUCAUGCAAUAAAAGUGUCAUGCGAUAUUUGGAAUGACUGCA